rnacentral:rRNA from 1 species
GUCUACAGCCAUGCCACCCUGAACACACCCGAUCUCGUCUUAUCUCGGAAGCUAAGCAGGGUCGGGCCUGGUUAGUACUUGGAUGGGAGACCACCUAGGAAGACCGGGUGCUGUAGGCG